rnacentral:tRNA from 1 species
AGUUUCAGCCGAAGGCUGAUAGAGCAUUUGAUUUACAUUCAAAAGGGCGACAGGUUCGACUCCUGCACUGUCCA